rnacentral:rRNA from 1 species
UACGGGGGGGGCAAGCGUUGUUCGGAAUUACUGGGCGUAAAGGGCUCGUAGGCGGCCAACUAAGUCGGACGUGAAAUCCCCAGGCUCAACCUGGGAACUGCGUCCGAUACUGGAUGGCUUGAAUUCGGGAGAGGGAUGCAGAAUUCCAGGUGUAGCGGUGAAAUGCGUAGAUAUGUGGAGGAACUCCGGUGGCGAAGGCGGCACGCUGGACCCGUCCUGACGCUGAGGCGCGAAAGCCAGGGGAGCGAACGGG